rnacentral:rRNA from 1 species
AUGAGGAGACGCCUGCCGUGGCGGACGCGGAGACAACAGCCAUGGGCGUGGAAGACGGUUUUGGAUCCUAUGAGCCGCCGCCGCUGCCGCACAGAAAGUCAACGCCGGCCUUCUGCUGCUCCAUGUCCCACAAGUCGCCCACGAGGCGUCAGUGUGGCAUUGCUAGCUCCAGUUUCCCCCUGCAAUCGUCUCUACCGCCGGCACUUGCACGCAAUCGUGCUGGUUUCUGUAGUUCAAGAUCAAAGGCAAGAAUCAGCCAAAUAUGAUGAUGAGAACAGGGCUAAUGAUGGAGAACCUUCAUCUAUCGAAGCUGAGCAGUCUAUUGGGAAUACUAAGUUUCAAUGCGCAUCCUAA